UUUGGAUACAAUAACUUUGGAAAAGUCAUUAAAUAUCCAAGAGGAUGAAUAGGACAUUGGGUUUUUGAGUCUGGAGCUUAGGAGAGAGGUCAGCAUGGGGGUUUUGAUUUGGGAGACAUACAAGCAUGGGGCUGAGUGUGGUCCCCCAAAGAAAGAGUGAAUCAGGGGAAGGAUGGGCAGGACAGAGACUUGAGUUAUUUCAACAUUGAGGCCAGCAAGCCUUUUUGAGGGCCUAUGCCCCGGCUGGUAAUACUUACAGCUCACUCUUCUUCAACUCCUCAUUACUGCUUAUGUUUGCAAGGUUCCUCUCAUGGGUCCUGGUAGUUUCCGUGUCUUGGUUUUGAGAUCAGCUCUCUGACCAAAAACUCAUUGGUUGUCUUUUUCUUAUAUUUCUGAAGGCUUUGGAACAGGAAGCAGUUUCCUUCUGGAACGUCCCAUCUGCUAUGUACUUCUCUACUUGUGGAUUUGCUCUGUGUACCUGGAGACAAAUGAGGCACGGAUGGCUGAAUGGGCCUGUCUUCUCUGAUUCACAGUCUCAUUCCUCCUCCUGCAUCCCAUGUCUGCUCAGGACGUAUGGCAGGAGCAGCCACCGCACCUGUGUGAGCACCUGCUUCCACAGACCCAGCUGUCUGGGGCUCACCUGAGCACACCUGUUACCUUUUCCUUCGAAAAGCCGGCCAUUGAUUUCUGACUUCAAAGCCUCCAAUCGUAUAUGGGAAACCUUGGAGGAAGACCUGGCUGAGAGUGUGCACCACCAUUUUGCAUGACUCGCUUCUCUCAUCUCCGAAUGGACCUGUGAUACGAAGAUUGAGCUGCUGAUUAGUGUAAAGGAGAUGAUGUCUGCAGUGCAGUGAACACAUAGCAAGGACUCUCCAAGAAGCACAGACCCAUCUCAAGGUGGGUCAGCGGAAAGAACACUUAGACGGAGGCACAAGGUCAUCCUACACCUUACUGGACCCUUCAUCAUGACUUUCAGGAGAACCAUGGCAAAGUUGAGAGUCAAGAAUGUGGUUUGGAAACCAUGGCAUGAGAGCGUUUCCAGAGAGAUCGUCAGCAGCACCAGUAACAUCUUGGGAGUGAAAUCACCAAAAUUGCUCCAUCGCUACUGGCCAGUCCAGAAGAAGUUCCUUGGUCCUCAUGGUGUUACUAAAAUAUUUGCCAUCGAUUGCCACAUGCCUUCCCUCAAAAGGUGUGCCAUGACUUCUAGGCAUGAGCCUCAGAGAUACACAUUUCCAUCCUACUUCUAGAGGUUUGUGCUCCCUGAUGGCAAAAAUUGACAGGAGUGGAGCAACUCUCUUCCCCUUGGAUGGGACACACAUGACGUGGUGUCAAGUUCAGCCCAAGGGAUUUGUUCAGGGGUCAGCUUCUGUUGCUGCUCAGGAUGGAAGGCAA